AACUGGUUGGGAGUUGAUGCCGCUCUCCUGACAAGGCCAUGGCAUGCCGAAACCAGUU
rnacentral:hammerhead_ribozyme from 15 species